rnacentral:rRNA from 1 species
AUACGGAGGGUCCAAGCGUUAUCCGGCAUCAUUGGGUUUAAAGGGUCCGCAGGCGGUCAAUUAAGUCAGAGGUGAAAGCCCAUCGCUCAACGAUGGAACUGCCUUUGAUACUGGUUGACUUGAGUUAUACGGAAGUAGAUAGAAUAAGUAGUGUAGCGGUGAAAUGCAUAGAUAUUACUUAGAAUACCGAUUGCGAAGGCAGUCUACUACGUAUAUACUGACGCUGAGGGACGAAAGCGUGGGGAGCGAACAGGAUUAGAAACCCCGGUAGUCC